GACGAACGCUGGCGGCGUGCCUAAUACAUGCAAGUAGAACGCACAGUUUAUACCGUAGCUUGCUACACCAUAGACUGUGAGUUGCGAACGGGUGAGUAACGCGUAGGUAACCUGCCUGGUAGCGGGGGAUAACUAUUGGAAACGAUAGCUAAUACCGCAUAAUAUUAAUUAUUGCAUGAUAAUUGAUUGAAAGAUGCAACUGCAUCACUACCAGAUGGACCUGCGUUGUAUUAGCUAGUAGGUGAGGUAACGGCUCACCUAGGCGACGAUACAUAGCCGACCUGAGAGGGUGAUCGGCCACACUGGGACUGAGACACGGCCCAGACUCCUACGGGAGGCAGCAGUAGGGAAUCUUCGGCAAUGGACGAAAGUCUGACCGAGCAACGCCGCGUGAGUGAAGAAGGUUUUCGGAUCGUAAAGCUCUGUUGUAAGAGAAGAACGGGUGUGAGAGUGGAAAGUUCACACUGUGACGGUAUCUUACCAGAAAGGGACGGCUAACUACGUGCCAGCAGCCGCCGUAA
rnacentral:rRNA from 1 species